rnacentral:lncRNA from 1 species
AAAAUCUGUUUGUUGUUCAUUUGUUUUUCUCCCCAUAGAGAACAAGGUGAGUGGAGGUAUCUUCAAUGAGAAGAAAGGCCUGAGCUCCCAUUCUCCUGUUACAAACACACCAUGUCAAAUAUUUUUCGAGUCAAUAUGUUUUAAUAAGUGCUCUUUAUUUAUUGGGGCUACAAUACUACAGUUGAAAUUGUUUGCAGACUUCAUUGAUUUUGACUGGAGGUCCCUGGAAGGCAUGGUGGUUCCUGCCUCAGCAGAAACUUGUGUGGCAAUAGGAGUGGAGGCCAGAGAGUCCUUAGGUCAGUCCCAAAUUCCCUGGGAAAAAAAGGGUUAACUGUCCCUGCAUUGAAUUAACUGUGGGGAUAAAACAUUUGUGAAUACCAUGUACACACAUAAAAUUGCCCCUAAACAAAUUAUUCUGGAGAUACGUUAUUCUAGCAAAUGGUCAUUCGCACAACGCACACAGCACAGCUGUCCUUUCUGGGUUCGUAUGAUUCAGAAGGUCCCAGCUGAAUCGUGACAGCAGGUGCAUAAGUGGCCUCGAGCUUUUUCCUCAUUAUUUCCAGCAAACCCCGUCUCUGUCUACUUACCUCCUUCCUUAACAGCCUUUUCCUAACCAAUUCUUUCUGCUCCCCUAGAAAUAUUACAUUCUGCAAAUGCGAAAGGAAAAGAAAUGGGUAUCUGCUCAGUGCCGAUUUCAGAGAGUAUCUACAAAGCUUUUCUCUUUUGCACAGAUACUGCACUGAAGACUCGGAGGGGUUGAGCCGCUGGAGCCACGCAAAUUCAGACACCUCUUCCGCCCCAGGUGUCAUUUCUGAGCAGGGAAGGUGUGAUCUGGGGCCAGAAUGAAUGGCCCUGGUGACUUCUUACCUGAUUCAUCCCACACCAGUCAGAAGGGGCUGUGAAGGCAGCAGCGAAGGAGCCACACAUGGACGUGGAAUGGGCACGCUGACCAUCAUGGUCACGACUGCAAGAAAGCAGGGCUGCGUGGGUUAAUUGGCUGUGUCUGAGGGUCACCCCUGCACAAGGAGGAUGAUGACGACUGCCCUGUGCAACCCUGGGUCAUCUCAGGGGAGAGCCAUUCCCAGGUUCACAGCAAGCACUCUUUUACUCAGAUGGGCCACCUGCAUCAGGCCCCAAGGAAGCACUUAUUAGUAGAAGAAAAAAAACAAAAACCCAGAAAACAGCCAGUGAGACUAUUUUACAAACAAGCGAAGAGCAGCAACUGAAAGCAACAAUAACUACAACAUAAAUCCCUCUGCAAAUAUUUGGGAUUUCAUUUCCACUAAGGAUAAUGAUGGCGUAGAAGGCAUGUCUGUGGGAGUUAUGCACACAGGGAAAAAGGUGGUGAAAAUAAUCAACCAAAAAUAACAAAAUUCAAUUAAUCAAAACAGAACAAAAUAAAAUGAGCCAAACAGCAUAUCUGAAUAUAAGCAUAAUAAUUGUCGUUGGACAAACCUUUGUCAAAUCAAAUUGGCUUCUAGCACACGGGCUGAUACUUUGUGAUUCAAGUGGUGUUCUACCCACAUAAUUCAUUUAGUUGCAAAGAAUGUAACAAAUAAUGCAAUUAUUCCAGAGGAUCACGGUGAGACAUCUAUUUGGUGGUGCCUUAAGCAGAGUGCCCUGAUUCAGAAGAAUUAGACCAAUCUCUGGAUUCACAGCCACUCAUGAAAACUGUAGGCCGGGCACGGUGGCUCAUGCCUGUAAUCCCAGCACUUUGGGAGGCCAAGGCGGGUGGAUCACGAGGUCAGGUGAUCGAGACCAUCCUGGCUAACAUGGUGAAACCCCGUCUCUACCAAAAAUACAAAAAGAAAUUAGCUGGGAGUGGUGGCGGGCACCUGUAGUCCCAGCUACUCGGGAGGCUGAGGCAGGAGAAUCGCUUGAACCCAGGAGGUGGAGGUUGCCGUGAGCCGAGAUCACGCUACUGCACUCCAAUCUGGGUGACCGAGCAAUACUCCGUCUAAAAAAAAAAAGUAAUAAUAAUAAUAAAAUAGGAAACUGCAGUAACUCGGGACAUCUGGGUUCCUUGUCUUUUGUCAAAAUCACAGGGAAUUCAACUCACUGAAUCUAUUGGUCAAUUCAAUUCCGCCAUUGGUCAGUAUGACUCGGCUUUUGACAGAGAGUUUUACCCAAAGACUUGCAGAACUUCCUUCCUGCAAGAUUUCAGAAGCACAGCAAGCAUUGCAAGAGGAAACUACCUUAUAAAUCAUACAAACCCAGCAUCGUGUUCUUUGCUUGUCCUUGCCUGAAUUUACUGGAAAAUCAUGUUGUGAAACCUAAAUGCAAAUGAACCUUUCUUAUUGCAAAUUAAAAACUAAAUCCAUUUUCAACUGAAUUCAAUGGGAAAAACAAGAAUUAUUUUCCUAAAAAGUAAAUAUCCACCACUCCGUAAUAAUUGUGAUCCGCUGUGGCUUAUGUGUCGUGUCUCAGGACAUGGACUCGGUCCUCUGCAUACCUUACCUCUCAUCCUGCAAUAAUCCUGAACAGGUUCCCAUUAUCCCCAUUUUAGAGGUAAGAAAAACACAGCUCUAAGGGUCUAAGUAACAAUCCCAAAGCCAGAAAUCAGUGCAAUCUUUCCUUGUAGGUUCCAUAAAGGAAGACUCCUCAUUGCUCGCUCAGGGUAAAUGUCUACUCUUUGCAAAUGCCAUUCUUAGCAAUCCUUUAAAAACAGUAACUCCUAGAUUGUAGUACUGCUCAAAGUUUCUAAGGAAACUCACAAGCUUAAAGAAAUGGCCGUGGGGUACUUGGGUAAUAGCUUCCCCACUUUCUUAUCCAGGAGCCUGGCUUCCAGGUGUUACCCUAGGCUGGUCAUGAAGAUACGUCCACCUUUUUUUUUGUUUUAAGUUACAGAGUUGCAAAUAUUUUUAAUAUUUUAAAUUGAUAAACCCAAGUUAUUUGAAUGCCAUCUUUAAAGUUUUUGAUUUGUUUUGCUUGUUUGUGCCUUGUCUUGUUUUUAAAACUUUUAUUUUAGGUUCAAGGGUACAUGUGCAGGUUUGUUAUAUAGGUACACUCCUGUCACGGGGGUUUGUUGUAUAGAUUAUUUCCUGAUCCAGUUACUAAACCUACACAUCCUGAAAAGGCAACAUUUCUGAUUCCCUAAGUGCAGGGAGCUCAGUGGGUGGGGCACAAUUGAUUAAUGGUGACCCAGCAGCUGCAGGCAUGCCUUCCCCUCUUAAAUCCUAUAAACCUUUCUCCCAGGGCAGAGAAUGGGACUGGCCUUGUUCCCACAGCUCCCUCCCCUUGCCAUCCUUGAGCCUUGAGAAGGAGCUGCUUACACAGCGAAGAAGGCCGGAAGGUCUGUGCGACAUUCUUUGGUACCAUCUGUGGACAUUACUGUUCCAUGCAGCCGAGGCUCCGUCCAGCGUUCACUGAUCUUACUGUACCUCCCCUCAGAUCUAGGGGAACGUGCUGGGAGCCGCUUCAGAAAUGGGGGACUUUCUUUUUUUUUUUUUUUUGAGAUUUAAAAAACUUUAAUCUCCAAAUUAAGUAUUUCUUUAUAGAACUCUGUUUUAGACAACAAAGAAUGGUAACAUAGUUAAGAGCCCAAACUCUGUGGUCAGGUACAUCUGAGCUAAUGAAUAUACUUAGAAUUCCUGGCAUGUGGUGAGCACUUGGUAGACAUUAUUAUUAUUGUUAUUAAUAAUACCCCAAAUCCAUCCUUCCUCCCAGUUAAUUUCUUUUUUUUUUUCUAUUAUACUUUUAAGUUUUAG